GACGAACGCUGGCGGCGUGCUUAACACAUGCAAGUCGAACGAGAGCGUAGAGAAAGCUUGCUUUUUCUACAAUCUAGUGGCAAACGGGUGAGUAACGCGUAAACAACCUGCCCUACGGAUGGGGACAACAGCUGGAAACGGCUGCUAAUACCGAAUACGUUCCGAAAGUCGCAUGACUAUCGGAAGAAAGGAUGGCCUCUAUUUAUAAGCUAUCGCCGGAGGAGGGGUUUGCGUCUGAUUAGCUAGUUGGAGGGGUAACGGCCCACCAAGGCGACGAUCAGUAGCCGGUCUGAGAGGAUGAACGGCCACAUUGGAACUGAGACACGGUCCAGACUCCUACGGGAGGCAGCAGUGGGGAAUCUUCCGCAAUGGGCGAAAGCCUGACGGAGCAACGCCGCGUGAGUGAAGACGGCCUUCGGGUUGUAAAGCUCUGUUAUACGGGACGAAUAAUCUUGUGGUUAAUACCCAUGAGAAGUGACGGUACCGUAAGAGAAAGCCACGGCUAACUACGUG
rnacentral:rRNA from 1 species